GAUGAACGCUAGCUACAGGCUUAACACAUGCAAGUCGAGGGGAAACGGCAUCGUAAGCUUGCUUUUGAUGGGCGUCGACCGGCGCACGGGUGAGUAACGCGUAUCCAACCUGCCCAUCACUUGGGAAUAACCUUGCUAAAGUAAGACUAAUGCUCAAUGACAUCCCACGAAGGCAUCCGAAUGGGAUUAAAGAUUUAUCGGUGAUGGAUGGGGAUGCGUCUGAUUAGCUUGUUGGUGGGGUGACGGCCCACCAAGGCAACGAUCAGUAGGGGUUCUGAGAGGAAGGUCCCCCACAUUGGAACUGAGACACGGUCCAAACUGCUACGGGAGGCAGCAGUGAGGAAUAUUGGUCAAUGGGCGAGAGCCUGAACCAGCCAAGUAGCGUGCAGGAUGACGGCCCUAUGGGUUGUAAACUGCUUUUAUAAGGGAAUAAAGUGGGUCACGUGUGACUUUUUGCAUGUACCUUAUGAAUAAGGGCCGGCUAAGUCCGUG
rnacentral:rRNA from 1 species